rnacentral:rRNA from 1 species
UAACGACUCUCGGCAACGGAUAUCUCGGCUCUCGCAUCGAUGAAGAACGUAGCGAACUGCGAUACUUGGUGUGAAUUGCAGAAUCCCGUGAACCAUCGAGUCUUUGAACGCAAGUUGCGCCCGAAGCCAUUUUUUUGGACGAGGGCACGUUUGCCUGGGUGUCAC